UUCAACAGUUAAAUAGGCCUGGUCUGGCUCUCUCGAAUCCUGACUCUUCUUGUUCUCUCAAUCCAAUUUAUACAAAAUCUGCAUAGAUUCACACCUUGGAAACAUCAUGUUUUUUCUUGGAAAGAUUGUGCCAUUGUAAGAGCAGCCUGCCAGGCUCAAUUGGAAAGAGACCAUGAAAGCUUUAAAAUGAAGCUUCUCCCAAUACUCAAAAUACUUUGGAAAAUGAGAGAGAAAGAGAGAGACAGAGAGAGAGAGAGAAUCCCCUGGUCCCCUGGGAUGUUUGAAGCUGUCAGCAGGAAGCAAACAAGCAAUAAAGCCACAAUUAAGCAAGGAGUCCUAAAUGAACAGAGAAGACCAAAACUUCGCCUAAUUGCAGUUUUUAUCAAAGCUUGUUGAAUUUCUGAAAGUUAGGAGAUUUGGAUAACAUUGGAAAAGUAACCAGAUGUUCCAAUGAAAACAUCUUACAAAAAACAGGAAAAGUUCCUUUCUUAACUUCUUGACCCUGUUGUUGUUUUAGCAUGUAUGUAGCCUUUAGAAUGAAUGAAAUAAAAUAGAAAUAAGGUAA